AUGUCCGGCCGCGGCAAGGGAGGCAAGGGGCUCGGCAAGGGCGGCGCCAAGCGGCACAGGAAGGUGCUGCGCGACAACAUCCAGGGCAUCACCAAGCCGGCGAUCCGGCGCCUCGCCAGGCGGGGCGGCGUGAAGCGCAUCUCCGGCCUCAUCUACGAGGAGACCCGCGGCGUUCUCAAGAUCUUCCUCGAGAACGUCAUCCGCGACGCCGUCACCUACACCGAGCACGCCCGCCGCAAGACCGUCACCGCCAUGGACGUCGUCUACGCCCUCAAGCGCCAGGGACGCACCCUCUACGGCUUCGGCGGCUAG
rnacentral:rRNA from 1 species